UACGGGGGGAGCAAGCGUUGUUCGGAAUUACUGGGCGUAAAGGGCUCGUAGGCGGCCAACUAAGUCAGACGUGAAAUCCCUCGGCUUAACCGGGGAACUGCGUCUGAUACUGGAUGGCUUGAGUUCGGGAGAGGGAUGCGGAAUUCCAGGUGUAGCGGUGAAAUGCGUAGAUAUCUGGAGGAACACCGGUGGCGAAGGCGGCAUCCUGGACCGACACUGACGCUGAGGAGCGAAAGCCAGGGGAGCAAACGGG
rnacentral:rRNA from 1 species